UACGGAGGGGGCUAGCGUUGUUCGGAAUUACUGGGCGUAAAGCGCACGUAGGCGGCUUUGUAAGUUAGAGGUGAAAGCCCGGGGCUCAACUCCGGAAUUGCCUUUAAGACUGCAUCGCUAGAAUUGUGGAGAGGUAAGUGGAAUUCCGAGUGUAGAGGUGAAAUUCGUAGAUAUUCGGAAGAACACCAGUGGCGAAGGCGACUUACUGGACACAUAUUGACGCUGAGGCGCGAAAGCUAGGGUAGCAAACGGG
rnacentral:rRNA from 1 species